rnacentral:rRNA from 1 species
GACGAACGCUGGCGGCGUGCCUACCACAUGCAAGUUGAGCGACGAACCAGGGCUUGCCCUGGGGCAAAGCAGCGAACGGGUGAGUAACACGUGGGUAACCUACCCCGAUAACCGGGACAACCCGAGGAAACUCGGGCUAAUACCGGAUGUGCUCACUGGACUUCGGUUCAGUGCGUAAAGGAAGCUUCGGCCUCCGUAUCGGGAGGGGCCCGCGGCCCAUUGGUUUGUUGGUGAGGUAACGGCCCACCAAGACCGCGAUGGGUAGCUGGUCUGAGAGGACGAUCAGCCACACUGGGACUGAGACACGGCCCAGACUCCGACGGGAGGCAGCAGUGGGGAAUCUUGCGAAAAGCGCGAAAGCGUGACGCAGCAGCGCCGCGUGGGGGAAGAAGGCCUUCGGGUUGUAAACCCCUUUCAGGAGGGACGAAGGUUCGGCGGUGAAUAGCCGUCCGGACUGACGGUACCUCCACAAGAAGCCCCGGCUAACUACGUG